rnacentral:rRNA from 1 species
CCGCGGGAACACCGGCGGCCCGAGUGGUGAUCGUGAUUAUUGGGUCUAAAGGGUCCGUAGCCGGUUUGGUCAGUCCUCCGGGAAAUCUGAUAGCUCAACUAUUAGGCUUUCGGGGGAUACUGCCAGACUUGGAACCGGGAGAGGUAAGAGGUACUACAGGGGUAGGAGUGAAAUCUUGUAAUCCCUGUGGGACCACCUGUGGCGAAGGCGUCUUACCAGAACGGGUUCGACGGUGAGGGACGAAAGCUGGGGGCACGAACCGGAUUAGAUACCCGGGUAGUCCCAGCCGUAAACGAUGCUCGCUAGGUGUCAGGCAUGGCGCGACCGUGUCUGGUGCCGCAGGGAAGCCGUGAAGCGAGCCACCUGGGAAGUACGGCCGCAAGGCUGAAACUUAAAGGAAUUGGCGGGGGAGCACAACAACGGGUGGAGCCCUGCGGUUUAAUUGGACUCAACGCCGGACAACUCACCGGGGGCGACAGCAAUAUGUAGGCCAAGCUGAAGACUUUGCCUGAAUCGCUGAGAAGAGGUGCAUGG